GAUGAACGCUGGCGGCGUGCCUAAUACAUGCAAGUAGAACGCUGAAGGAGGAGCUUGCUCUGCUGGACGAGUUGCGAACGGGUGAGUAACGCGUAGGUAACCUGCCCGGCAGUGGGGGAUAACUAUUGGAAACGAUAGCUAAUACCGCAUGACAACAGUUAUUGCAUGAUAACUGUUAAAAAGGGGCAACUGCUCCACUACCAGAUGGACCUGCGUUGUAUUAGCUAGUUGGUGAGGUAACGGCUCACCAAGGCGAGGACACAUAGCCGACCGGAGUGGGGGCGCGGCCCCCCUGAGACGGGGACCCGGCCCAUACUCCUACGGGAGGGGCCAGUACGGCAUCGUCGGCCAUGGACGGAAGACUGACCGAGCAACGCCCCGGGAGUGAAGAAGGUUUUCGGGUCGUGGAGCUCGGUUGUCAGGGUAGAACGAGUUUGAGCGUGGAAAGAACACACUGUGACGGUAUCUUACCAGAAAGCGCCGGCUAACUACGUG
rnacentral:rRNA from 1 species